AUUAAACAAAUAAAAUAAAAUAUGUUUCAAUAAAAAAAUUUACUAAUUUGAAUAUAUUAUAGCUGCCAAAUUUGUUCAUUAUAUAUUCAUGUGAAUGUCAAACUACUGAAUGUUGAAAUGAGAUAUUUACAUAGUUGAACAUUUCUAUAUGUGAGAUUGUUAAUUACAUUUACAUACUAUUUUAAAUUAGUCAAAAACAGAUGCAUCUUCAUGCUUGGAUCUUUUAGACCAUAUUUGAUCAAAAUCACUUGUUACAUUAAAAUUGAGGAUGAAAUGUCAGUGUUUCAGGUGAAAAAGUAAUGAAGGAUUAAAAAUCAUGUUCAAUUAUGACAAAAAUCACAAUUAUUUUAUGUCCAACAAAUGUCAACCUAUAAUGCAACAAACAACCAAGAAAAAACACUAGCAUCAUACGUUUUUGUCGAGAACUCUCCCUACAAAAAUUUACUUAUCAUAAAAUUUUGAGUUAUGAUUUCCAGCUAAAUACAUUUAAAGAAAUUAACUACUAAAAGAGGAUUCUAUAAAUUACAACAUUGAUAAAAAAAAAAAAAAAGGGAGUGAAACAAACAAUUUACAGAGCACUUCAGUUUGAUGAAUUUCCCUAGAGAAUCAGUUUUAAAUUAAUCACAUAAGUUAUACAACACAAAAUCACAGGAAAUGCAUCAACAUCAAGUUUCAACUAAGCCUCGUCCUGAAGCCCUAUUUCACCAUUGACAUAUGUCAUUUUAUAUAAUAAUAAUAAUAAUAAUAAUAAUAAUAAUAAUAAUAAUAAUAAUAAUAAUAAUAAUAAUAAUAAUAAUAAUAAUAAUAAUAAUAAUAAUAAUAAUAAUAAUAAUAAUAAUAAUAAUAAUCUAUAUAUAAAAGGAGAGGAGAAAACGACAUGUGUCAGCACCACAAUUAUUCUUGAAUUUUAUUAUUUUUAGUUAUUUUAAAUAAUAAAUUCAAAUUCAAUAACUUAAUUGUCUUUAGUUAAUUUAAAUAAUAAAUUCCAUUUUAAAAUAAAAUAACAAUUUAAACGGUUACCAUUAAAAUAAAAACAAUUUAAACGGUUACCAUUACAGAAAAUGAAAAAACUUAUUGUUAAAAAAAGAUAAAUUAAACGGUGGAUUAGUUGAAAUGGAGUAGUUUUUUUUCUUCCUUUCUUUGUAAUUUUUCUUUGUAAAGAAAAGACUUCCAAUUAAAAAGAAAAAGGAUAUCACGUCCUUUAAAAAAAGAAAUCUCAAAAUUAGCCACAAAAAUAUCUAAAUAAUUAAUUUAAAAUUUACAAAGAAAGGAAAAAAAAACUACCCCAUUUCAACUAAUCCACCGUUUAAUUUAUCUUUUUUUUUUACAAUAAGUUGUUUCAUUUUUUUAAUGGUAACCGUUUAAAAUGUUAUUUUUUUUUAAUGGUAACCGUUAACUUGUUAUUUUGUUUUAAAAUGGAAUUUAUUAUUUAAAUUAUCUUUAACUAUUCUUUUAUUAUUAAUGUUUUCUUCUUCUUCUUCUUCUUUUUUUGUUAAUUAAUUGUUUUACCUUUUUAUUAAAUUUUCUGUUAUGACAUUUUUAAAUCUAAUUUAUUGUUAUUGCUAUCAUUGCCUUUAACAUCCAAAAUUCAAGCACUACAAAAAAUAAAAAUAAUGCAUAAUUUUAACCAAAAAAAUCUGAAUAAUAUGAUAAUAAGGAAAAAAGCAACUAACAAAUUAAAAAUAUUAUAUACUAAUAAUAUGAGAUCUUUAGAUAUUGUGACUUUCUUUAUGAUCGGAGAUUUUAUGAGUAAGAAUUGAAUUAUCCUUAAGAAUUGAAUUAAAAAUAUUCCUACCUUUUUCUUAUUUAUUUUUGUUACAUUUUUACGAAAAAAACUUCACUUGUCAUUUUCAUUUUCAUUUUUUUUAAAUAGUUAGAUCACAUUUCUGUUUUUUUAGUUAUACUUUUUUUAAAAAUUAUUUUCAAAAUUAGAUAAUUUAAUUAUUUUUUAAAUUAAACAAAAUCAUAAAUGCACCCACAGAAGCCAUACUAUAUGUGUAUGUGUAUGUGUAGUUAUUUAAAAGAGAGGAAGAUAUUGUGCAAGGAAAUUAAAUGUUAAAUAAUCAUAAUAAUACUAAAAAUGAUUUAACUAAAGAAUAAUCAAUUGUCAAAUGAUCAUACUAAUAAUCAAAAUGAUCACGCUAAGGAAUACUACUUUGCAUAUAAAUUAACAAAAAUGUAAUUUGUGAACGAAGAAUAUGAUAAUUAUGAUGAUAUGUAUUCAUCAUCAUUCUCAUAUAUAAACACUUAUUGAAAUCGUUAAAAGAAUAUGAAAAUAACAUAAGUAAGGAACGCCAACCAAAUUUGUUUAGUGAUUGACAUACAUGAUCCAUUGAUAUGAAAUUCUUCAGAAUUCCUCCAUUUAUCUAUCGUUGAUUUCUUCUUCUUCUUUGUUGCAUUGGAGAGCAUGGUGGUCCUUCUCCGUCAAUUAUAACAACAUAAUUUCAAAUCAAACUAUUAAGAAAAAUGACACAUAUACACACAAUACACUACUAUACUUUUCCUGAUUUUCUUUUAUGAUCUCACGUGAAUGUAAUUUAUUUUUUGUUUGAAUGUAAUAUUUGUUUUACAGAUGUUUGGAUUCGUUUAUGAAGAGUUUGAUUUAAAAAGAUGUGAAUGAUGUUAUUAAGAAUAAUAAUUUUCUUCAAAGAUGUGGGUUAGGAAGUUGAGAUUCUUUUUAGGGAUAAGGUUAGUUAUUAUUUGAAUUUUUUUUUUAAAAUUCUAUCCAUAUAAUAUGUCUUAUUAUUAUUAAAAGAAAGAAAAGACUUCCAAUUCAAAAAAAAAAAAAAAAGAUAUCACGUCCUUUGAAAAAGGAAAUCUCAAAAUUAGCCACAAAAAAUAUCUAAAUAAUUAAUUUAAAAUUUAAAUUUCAAAUACUAACUAACCUUAUCCCUAAAAGAAUCUCAACUUCCUAACCCACAUCUUUGAAGAAAAUUAUUAUUCUUAAUAACAUCAUUCACAUCUUUUUAAAAUCAAAACUCUUCAUAAACGAAUCCAAACAUCUGUAAAACAAAUAUUACAUUCAAACAAAAACAAAUUACAUUCACGUGAGAUCAUAAAAGAAAAUUAGGAAAAGUAUAGAAGUGUAUUGUGUGUAUAUAUGUCAUUUUUCUUAAUAGUUUGAUAUGAAAUUAUGUUGUUAUAAUUGACGGAGAAGGACCACCAUGCUCUCCAAUGCAACAACGAAGAAGAAGAAAUCGACGAAAGAUAAAUGGAGGAAUUCUGAAGAAUUUCAUAUCAAUGUAUCAUGUAUGUCAAUCACUAAUUAAAUUUGGUUGGCGUUCCUUAUUUACGUUGUUUUCAUAUUCUUUUAACGAUUUCAAUAAGUGUUUCAUUGUGUAAGAAUAAAAUCAAUAUAUAUGAAAAUGAUGCAUAUCAUCAUAAUUAUCAUAUUCUUCGUUCACAAAUUUAGGAUGUAGAUUAGUGAGAACGUAUAUAGUCAAGCUUAAUUUGUGUUGUAAUUCUUACUUCUUUUAGCAAUUUAACAUGCUCAGUGAUAACUUGCAAAGUGUUAUUUUUAGAUUUUUAUUUUGAUCAACUUUAUUUUAUCAUUUCAAAAUUUUCAUUCUAUCAUAUAAAAUCUCUCCACAUGUAUUUUUGAUAUCAUUGCUUUCAAAUUUUGAAUUAAAAUUGAUUUGAAAUGAAUUACCAUGUGUUUUCACGUUAUAUUCAUAAUAGCAUGUUGGUGGCGUUUAUAAUGUCUAAACUUUUUCUAAUUAAUAUUAUAAAAAUAUAUUAAUUAUUUAUAUAAAAUUAUUUUAAAAUUUUAAAAACUAUAUCCUAAUAUUAUAUACAUGCACUUUUGUUACUCAAUAAUAAUAAUUCAUAUUAAUUAUUUUUAAGUUUAAAAUUUAUUAUAUUUUAAAAUAUCCGCGCAAUGAGUAAGUUGAACAGAUGAUCCUUCACCUCAACUACAUGUGUUAAUCAUUAUUACUUGCAUGUCAUGUUAAAUUUUGAGUAAUGAAAAGUUUUGAAGAAGUAAACAAAAUAGAAACAAUUACAGGGACAAAGAAAUGUAAUAUCAAGUAAAAUUGCAUUUGUGUAAUCCUAUAACAAGAUCAACUUGAGAAAUAACAUGGCAGUACAAGUGUUUGACCAACUCCUAUCCUAAAAUUUGGAUAAAUUUUAUUUUAACGAGGCUUACUUCAUCCGCAAAGUGCAAAUUCACUGAUUGGGAGGGUAAGGAGAGAGUGAGUGUAAUCACAUAGGGUUCCCCUUCUAUCUAAGCAAGAGAUUUGUUUGACCAAUUUUGCUUGCUUAGGCAAAGUUGAUAUUAGAUGUAGCCUGGUCCAAUAUAUCUUUGGAAAGCUACAGUGGUCAAGGUGCCAAAAGUAGGACCUGAGCCCCUAUGUGCCGAUUAAUUCAUCUCAGGGUACAUGGACUUGUUAAUGUAUUUUAAAUUUAGUGAAAGGCUAAAUGUAACAGUGAUGUUUAAAUUUAAUAUAAGUAGUUACAGCAAGAGCCUAUUCCUUUGAAAAGUAGGUUCAUCCCAUGUUAAGCAUAUGGACUGAAAUCUCUUAUAUGGUUCAUCACAAGCAAAAUAUGAAAUAGAAUUACUUGUGGAGGGUAUUAAUUCUUUGUCAUAAGUUACGCAAAGAGAUGUGAAGGCAAAUAUAUUAUUGUAUAUUCUAAUGUAAGUUCUAAAAUAUUUUGAUAGCUCAGUAUUUUCAAAAUAAAGACUCUUUAAUUUUAUUGGAAUCUCAUGUGAAGUUAAUUGAACAAAACCAUUGCUACAACAAAAUGCAGGCGGUUCAUAUUCAAAUUUUAUGGCUUCACAAAAUUGACAUUUUGAGACUUCUUUUAAUUCGAUAUAAUUGAGUUUUGAUGGCAUUGUACUACCUAUUUUGGAUGGCAGCGACAUGGGAUCUCUCAUAAGAUGAGAACUUUGUGCAAGAGAAACAAUGGUAGAAAUAAAAGACGAUCCAGUAGCCAAGUCAUUAUUCAUUGAACUUUCAGAUAAGUUAUGCUUUCUCAUUUCAGCUCUCUUUGCUUGACCGCAUGCCAGAAGAAUCUCUUUUUUCUCGGGUGGCAUUAAUCUAUAUAGUUCGCGUCUCCUAGCAUUUCUAUCAGAUUUUUGAAAAGCAUGCACAUUUUUAUGGUUUCUAUUACUUGACAUCUUUGAGAUCAAAAUAAUUUUACAGGAAAUAAUUAUGUGAUAAAUAAUAGUAAUAACAACUUUUAAAAAUGGAUUAGUUGAGUAAUACUUACAACACACUGAGAGGAAAGUGAAACACAUGAGCGAACAACUACCUCAUCGUAGUGGAAAUUCUGUAAAGUUAACAGUUCAAAACAUAUAUUAAAUCUUAUAUAAUAGACAUGUAUAACAGAGUAAGAAGUAAAAAAUGCUAAAAAUAAGAGGUUGAUUUAGAAAGUAUUGCAGAAGAGAAUAUGGAAUGAAAAUAGUAACAAAUAACAUAUAGUUUUUUUCCAUUUAAGUCUCAAUAAUUGAUAAGUAGAGAAUAGCAAACAAAAAUCAAUGUGCAAUUUAUGUACUGGAACAAAAGAACCAAGUUGCAAGCUUCCUAUGACAACACUGUAUCAACUGGAAGUUUCAUUGCCUGAAAAAUCACUUCAUGAUUCAAGUAACAUUAAGCAAAAAAGAUGUAAGUUUUGCAACAACGUAUCUUUCAACCUAUGUUGCGCGAACUCUUCAAAAAUAUCAGUGGGUGUGUGUCAGAUUCUCCAAAUGUAGUGUAUUUUUUGAAGAAUCUGACACGGGCGCGAUAUCAAAAGUGAAAAAUCUGCGCAACAUAGCUUUCAACACACUAUAAUAUUGUUAUUUUCUAUUUUUCUCUUUGGCCAAAUUUCUUGCACAUAGCUGGUCACUUCUACUUUAUUUUAUUGCAUUUACAACUUCUUAGUACCAAGUACAUAGCUGAUCACUUCUAUUUUAUUUUACUAUAUCAUGUUAGUAACUAUGACAUACUAAAAAGGAAAAGAUUAAAUAUAAACUAUGACAGAGAUAAAUUUAUGUGAAACAUGAAAUUUUAUAUUACAAACUCUAUGCUCCAUAAGUGUCACCAUUACAGAAGUAAGCUGUUAAAAUUAAAGGGUGAAACAUUAUGAUGAACAAGACAUAACAUAAGUAAACUACUUUUUCUAAAUUUGAAUUAACAAAUGAAACAGGAGAAUGAAGUGGACUAAUAUAAAACUGAAAUGCAAGAAUAGAUGCUUGACUAAAUGAGAUAAUUAGUGUAGGAUCAUUAAAGAGUGAGCAUAGAGUUAAAAGAACAAUGAAUUAGAAGAGAAUGAUAGAAAUGAAGAUAACAAGACUACUGAUGUACUGAUUGAAGGUUUAUUCUUAAAAAAACAAAGAGAUUGUUCCUAGUGAUUCUAUUUCAAAUUAAAAUUUUGUGAGGUAUUAUAACUAUAAUGUGACUGUUCGUUGCUUAUUACUCUCAGUUGCAACAUUGGUGCAUUUAUUUUGAGACUGAUAAGAGUUAAUGAUGAACAUGUGAAAAGGUGCAAUUUUUUAAAUUUUGUUUGACUUUCUACUGAUUUUCAUGUGAUAACUUUAACUGAAAGUGGGGUUGUCCAUUACUAAAGUCACAUAAGGUUCAUUUAAGAGGCAUUUAUGGGCUGAAUCUUCUGUUAAUAAGUUGGAAAUGCUAAUGAGGCAUCUAAUCUAAUGAGAAAUCAUGAGGAAGCUAAGGCUAGGCAGAAGCAGGCAACAUAUUGUAUGAUGAGUAUGUUUUCUUAUGAGGUUGCUGAUGGCAUACUUAGUGAUCAUAUUGAACACAUUAUUGAUCCUACACAAUGAUUAUUAACCAGGACUGAACAUGCCAAAAAAAAAUAUUAGUUUUCAAAUCACUGUAGUCUUUAAUACUUUACAGACAUCCUAGGCGCCUUGCUAGUGCAAUUGCUAAAGAUGAGGUCCUGCGACACUUAGACGACACAGUGUUGUUCAAGGUCAACGUAGGAUCUAAGCGUCUUUAUUAAGACAUUUUAGCGAUAUAUAAAUAAAAUUACCACAAUAUUUAUUCAGUACACACUUGUAGUGAAUAAACAAUAAUAAUGUCCACGAACAAAAUUGUAUAGUAACACAAAAAAUAAAAAAGAGUCGGCAACAACUAACAACUACAAGAUGAUUUGCUCAACUUUGGACCUUCACCAUGUGCAAGCCAUAAAUGUAAAUUAAAUUAAUAUAAAGCCCUAAAGUUAUAUAACAAUAAUAGUAAUGCCUCAUGAACUUCCAAUAUAGAAUUGGAGUAAUGUGAAGGAGAGACUGAUAUGCUAGAAACCAUUGCAGGAGAGACUGAUAUGCUAGAAACCAUUGCAGCAAAUUCUCGAAGAAUAGUCAAGCAAUGUUUAACAAUCUAGCUAUGAGAGAACGACAAAGAAAUUGAGGAAGAACUUAUCUGAAACUGAAAGAAUCAAAAAGACUAAACAAACUUGAAACAACAGGAAGAUGAA
rnacentral:lncRNA from 1 species